rnacentral:rRNA from 1 species
CCUACGGGUGGCUGCAGUGGGGAAUAUUGGACAAUGGGGGGAACCCUGAUCCAGCCAUGCCGCGUGUGUGAAGAAGGCCCUCGGGUUGUAAAGCACUUUCAGUGAGGAAGAACGCCUGGUGGUUAAUACCCAUCAGGAAAGACAUCACUCACAGAAGAAGCACCGGCUAACUCCGUGCCAGCAGCCGCGGUAAUACGGAGGGUGCGAGCGUUAAUCGGAAUUACUGGGCGUAAAGCGCGCGUAGGUGGCUUGAUAAGCCGGUUGUGAAAGCCCCGGGCUCAACCUGGGAACGGCAUCCGGAACUGUCAAGCUAGAGUGCAGGAGAGGAAGGUAGAAUUCCCGGUGUAGCGGUGAAAUGCGUAGAGAUCGGGAGGAAUACCAGUGGCGAAGGCGGUCUUCUGGACUGACACUGACACUGAGGUGCGAAAGCGUGGGUAGCAAACAGGAUUAGAUACCCGUGUAGUC